rnacentral:rRNA from 1 species
UGGGGAAUUUUGGACAAUGGGCGAAAGCCUGAUCCAGCCAUGCCGCGUGAGUGAAGAAGGCCUUCGGGUUGUAAAGCUCUUUUAGUCGGAAAGAAAGAGUCGCAAUGAAUAAUUGUGAUUUAUGACGGUACCGACAGAAAAAGCACCGGCUAACUACGUGCCAGCAGCCGCGGUAAUACGUAGGGUGCGAGCGUUAAUCGGAAUUACUGGGCGUAAAGGGUGCGCAGGCGGUUUUGCAAGUCAGAUGUGAAAGCCCCGGGCUUAACCUGGGAAUUGCGUUUGAAACUACAAGGCUAGAGUGCAGCAGAGGGGAGUGGAAUUCCACGUGUAGCAGUGAAAUGCGUAGAGAUGUGGAAGAACACCGAUGGCGAAGGCAGCUCCCUGGGUUGACACUGACGCUCA